rnacentral:rRNA from 1 species
AUGGCCCUCGCCUCCACCGCGCGCGCAUCGCAUCCCCUCUCCAACAAUCCGUGCGGUUCGUUUCAUCGAGCUGCGCGAUGGCCGCCCGCAAGCGGCCUGCCGCCGCCCUCGACGCCGGCAACGCCACGACGACGACGCCUCGACAAUCCUCGCCUUGCUGCAAGAGGAGCCGCGCCAACAUCAGGAGCACCGCGGAGUACGACGAGGAGACCCGCCUCGGCGAGGGCGGCUUCGGCCGCGUCCUCCUGGCGCGCCACCGCGCCACCCGCAAGAUCGUCGCCAUCCCUCAGCUGGCCGGACGGGUCCGCCCUGCCCCCCGACGCCGCCGAGCUUCUGCGGGAGGGCCGGUUCCUCGAGGCCUGCGACGGGAACCCGUACGUCGUUGGCUUCGAGGGCCUGGUGCGCGACCUGGACAACGGCGCCUUCGGCCUCGUCAUGGAGUACGUCGCGGCGCCGAGCCUCCACAAGUUCCUUAGGAAUAGGAGGAGCGGCCAGCCGCUCCCGGAGUCCACCGUGCGCGCCAUCAUGUGGAAGCUCCUCGCCGGUGCCAAGACGAUGCACGACCGCCACGUCGUCCACCGCGACAUCAAGCCCGGCAACAUCCUCGUCGGCCAAGACGGCGAGCUCGUCAAAAUCUGCGACUUUGGGCUGGCGAUCUCCAUGUCCGAGCUGCCGCCGUACAACCAGGCCGGCACGCCGUUCUACGUGGCGCCCGAGGUGCUCCUGGGGAAGCGGGACUACGACGCGCUCGUCGACACGUGGUCUCUCGGGUGCGUCAUGGCCGAGAUGCUCACCGGCAAGACGCUGUUCUCUCGGGUGUAA